CCGAAAACUGGAGUUGCCCAGCCCUGCGUUAGACUAGAGUUCAACUGCAUACAACUAGUCUACACAGCAGAGCACUAAACUAACCAUUUGUGUGCUAAAUGUCUGUCUGUUGCUCGUUGGGCCAAUAACCUAUCUGCAGUCAACGAAAGCAAUACUACAACAACAGUCAAUCAAUUAAUCAAUUAUGUAGCCUAUAAACCGAAAUUAAAACGUGGGAAACGCAACCGCAUCAAACACGUUCUGUUUCUGUUUCAUUAGGGCUACAACAUACAUUUCAUGUAUAGGACAAAUGUAUUAACUACCAGUAAAGAAACAUUCUUUCUCCGACUAGAAAUACGUGUUAUCGAUCACACUAGGCGAGCACAUUCUAUUCAGAGGUGUCUCUGUGACUUGUACGCACAUUUAAAUGUCUUGUGCACUCAUGGCUCAGAUUGCCCCACCCACCUCAUGUAUCUCUAGACUGGCCUGGCUUCCUAUAUAGCUUGAUACGUGACCAUCGUGUGCUUGUACUCCCUCGUUUGAGUACAUUUCAACCAGCUCAAUCCGAGCACAGUUGCAGGUCUCCAGACCAGAGCUGCAUCAACACACUGCACAAAGAAACCAACCCCAGACCCACUACAGACAUGAUCAUCCGACUGGGCAGACUGACCCCUGGAUACUUCCGCCUCCUACAGAGACAGGUGGCGGGUGAGGUGCAGACCCAGCCACAGGACCGCAUGGUCAACCAGAUAGCCAUGAUGCUGGCCAUCAUGGGCCUAAGCCUGUCCUACUACAGUGCCAAACGGAUGACCGAGAAGGUCCAGAGACUCCAGAAGAGAAGAGAUCCCCAUACACCCUGAAGAAUUCCCCCCCCCCCCCCCCCCCCCCCAUGCACCGGUCCGCUUUGAACCUGGAGAGAAGACGAACCAACGCGGAGAUGUUGUGGAGAGGAGACGUGGAGAUGUCGGUGUCCAGAACAACACCUUUUCACAACCGAUCAGUCGUAGUCACGUCGUUCACACACUGGGGUUUUACUGGGAUCCCUCUCAAUGCGAGGAGAGUUCGGGGGCUGCUGCUUUUAAGGGUAUCUUGUUAAUUUUUCACACCAAUUGGGGGGAAGAGGCCAACGGUGGGGUACGUGUGGUCCUGAUAAGUUUUGGGGGGGUAAAAAGUACUACCAGCUGUCUAUGGUCAGGCUGGGUCUGAGCUUUAGUCAUUGCCAAGGUACAUGCGUGCAAGAUUCCAUCAAUACUGUUCUUAGCUAAAAAGGAUAGAAAAAUGCAAAACUAAUUAUUCUAAUGUACUGUGAAACUUGCUAGUGCUCCAAGCAUAUGACUGUGUAAAAUAACUGAACAGUAAUUCUUUUUUAAGGGAAGGCUAUCUGCAUUUGAGAUGUAUCUAGUAAUGACUGAAGGCGGGCCUGUAGUGUGGGGAGAAAGUAACCCUCUUAGGUUUUUGUCAUUUCUUAUUGUUAAAAAAAUUUAAGUGAGCAAUGUGAGCUAGAUGUGGAGGAGGAGGAGUCUCAAACUGGUCAAUAAGUCCACACAUAUUUAAAAUCUGCUAAUGUCAGAAAAAAAACAACAGUACAAGUGAAAUGCAGUAUUUUAACAUUUUAGGAACUUGCUUAUCCAAAUCUACGAAAAAAGGCACUUAAUCCAAAUAACAACUUUGUUUUUCUCACAAUGUUUCUAGAUUCUUUAUUUAAACUUAAAUAGAUGAAAGGUGGCUUUCUUUAAAGAACUCGAUCUGCAAUAGCUACUAGGUGUUACCACAGAAUAUUCUAACUUCAGUAAACGUUGCAUGGGUGUGCAGCUUUUAAACUCUACAUAACUUAAGAUUUCAUUAAAACUGUCACGUUUAGUUUUUUAAAGAAUGAUAACCAUGAAUGUAUAUUUCUGUGAUGUUUAGAAAAAUCAAAUAAAGCUGUGACUUGAAUGAUAAGAACAGUGGCAGUUUAGUAAUGAUUUUACGGUGUUUGGGAAUUCUGGAAAAACCGACAUGAACAAGCU
ensembl:lncRNA